GAUGAACGCUGGCGGCGUGCCUAAUACAUGCAAGUCGAGCGAACGGACGAGAAGCUUGCUUCUCUGAUGUUAGCGGCGGACGGGUGAGUAACACGUGGAUAACCUACCUAUAAGACUGGGAUAACUUCGGGAAACCGGAGCUAAUACCGGAUAAUAUUUUGAACCGCAUGGUUCAAAAGUGAAAGACGGUCUUGCUGUCACUUAUAGAUGGAUCCGCGCUGCAUUAGCUAGUUGGUAAGGUAACGGCUUACCAAGGCAACGAUGCAUAGCCGACCUGAGAGGGUGAUCGGCCACACUGGAACUGAGACACGGUCCAGACUCCUACGGGAGGCAGCAGUAGGGAAUCUUCCGCAAUGGGCGAAAGCCUGACGGAGCAACGCCGCGUGAGUGAUGAAGGUAUUCGGAUCGUAAAACUCUGUUAUUAGGGAAGAACAUAUGUGUAAGUAACUGUGCACAUCUUGACGGUACCUAAUCAGAAAGCCACGGCUAACUACGUG
rnacentral:rRNA from 1 species